rnacentral:rRNA from 1 species
AGUAGUUUGAUCCUGGCUCAGAUUGAACGCUGGCGGCAUGCCUUACACAUGUAAGUCGAACGGUAACGGGCCUUCGGGUGCCGACGAGUGGCGAACGGGUGAGUAAUGCAUCGGAACGUACCUUUCAGUGGGGAUAACGUAGCGAAAGUUACGCUAAUACCGCAUAUUCUGUGAGCAGGAAAGCAGGGGAUCGCAAGACCUUGCGCUGAUUGAGCGGCCGAUGUCAGAUUAGCUAGUUGGUGAGGUAAAGGCUCACCAAGGCGACGAUCUGUAGCGGGUCUGAGAGGAUGAUCCGCCACACUGGAACUGAGACACGGUCCAGACUCCUACGGGAGGCAGCAGUGGGGAAUUUUGGACAAUGGGGGCAACCCUGAUCCAGCCAUGCCGCGUGAGUGAAGAAGGCCUUCGGGUUGUAAAGCUCUUUCGGCCGGGAAGAAAUCGCAUGGGUUAAUACCCUGUGCGGAUGACGGUACCGGCAUGAGAAGCACCGGCUAACUACGUG